GUAAUAGGACUGCGCUGUAGGUGUGCAGUUACUGUUGCCUAUGUGCAAACUCUGUGCUAUAUUGUCUAGAAUUGCACUGUAGCAAUGGUGACUGCCUGCAGAGUGCCAGCUAUACAAACUC
rnacentral:precursor_RNA from 14 species